rnacentral:rRNA from 1 species
GUGGGGAAUUUUGGACAAUGGGCGCAAGCCUGAUCCAACAAUGCCGCGUGCAGGAAGAAGGCCUUCGGGUUGUAAACUGCUUUUGUACGGAACGAAACGGUCCGGGUUAAUACCCUGGGCUAAUGACGGUACCGUAAGAAUAAGCACCGGCUAACUACGUGCCAGCAGCCGCGGUAAUACGUAGGGUGCGAGCGUUAAUCGGAAUUACUGGGCGUAAAGCGUGCGCAGGCGGUUUUGUAAGAUCGAUGUGGAAUCCCCGGGCUCAACCUGGGAACUGCAUUGGUGACUGCAAGGCUGGAGUGCGGCAGAGGGGGAUGGAAUUCCGCGUGUAGCAGUGAAAUGCGUAGAUAUGCGGAGGAACACCGAUGGCGAAGGCAAUCCCCUGGGCCUGCACUGACGCUCAUGCACGAAAGCGUGGGGAGCAAACAGGAUUAGAUACCCGAGUAGUCC